UGCCAGCCGCCGCGGUAAUACGGAGGGGGCUAGCGUUGUUCGGAAUUACUGGGCGUAAGGAGCGCGUAGGCGGUCUGGCAAGUUGGGAGUGAAAUCCCGGGGCUUAACCCCGGAACUGCUCUCAAAACUGCCAAACUAGAGAAUGGUAGAGGAAAGUGGAAUUCCCGGUGUAGAGGUGAAAUUCGUAGAUAUCGGGAGGAACACCAGAGGCGAAGGCGGCUUUCUGGGCCAUUUCUGACGCUAAGGCGCGAAAGCGUGGGGAGCAAACAGGAUUAGAUA
rnacentral:rRNA from 1 species